GACAGAGGGGGCAAGCGUUGCUCGGAAUUACUGGGCGUAAAGCGUGCGCAGGCGGUUCGUGAUGUCUGGUGUGAAAGCCCCGGGCUUAACCUGGGAAUUGCAUUGGAAACUAGCGGGCUGGAGUGUGGCAGAGGGGGGUGGAAUUCCACGUGUAGCAGUGAAAUGCGUAGAGAUGUGGAGGAACACCGAUGGCGAAGGCAGCCCCCUGGGCUAACACUGACGCUCAUGCACGAAAGCGUGGGGAGCAAACAGG
rnacentral:rRNA from 1 species